CCCUUAGAUGUUCUGGGCCGCACGCGUGCUACACUGAUGCAUUCAACGAGUCUAAAACCUGGUCUGAUAGGGCUGGGUAAUCUUUUGAAAGUGCAUCGUGAUUGGGAUAGAUGAUUGCAAUUCUUCAUCUUCAACGAGGAAUGCCUAGUAAACGCAAGUCAUCAGCUUACAUUGAUUACGUCCCUGCCCUUUGUACACACCGCCCGUCGCUCCUACCGAUUGAAUGAUCCGAUGAAUACCAUGGAUUGAGAGUACGAAUAGGUUCGCUUAUUUCUGCUGCUCGAGAAGUGGAGUAAAUCUUAUCAUUUAGAGGAAGGAGAAGUCGUAACA
rnacentral:rRNA from 1 species